UACGGGGGGAGCAAGCGUUGUUCGGAAUUACUGGGCGUAAAGGGCUCGUAGGCGGCCCUCUCAGUCGGAUGUGAAAUCCCCAGGCUUAACCUGGGAACGGCAUCCGAUACUGGAGGGCUUGAAUUCGGGAGAGGGAUGCAGAAUUCCAGGUGUAGCGGUGAAAUGCGUAGAUAUCUGGAGGAACACCGGUGGCGAAGGCGGCAUCCUGGACCGGCAUUGACGCUGAGGCGCGAAAGCCAGGGGAGCAAACGGG
rnacentral:rRNA from 1 species